UAAAUAACCUUUUGAUAAGGCAGUAUCAGCCAGCCACAGUCCUCUGAACUGAAAAUUAGAACUACAAAAUGCUAGUAUUGUCCCAUCUAAACUGGUUCUCUAAAGAGAGAGCGUACUUUUAUAUAAGGAGAAUAAUUAGCUUCCUGGCUCUGGAAGAACAUCGCGGAGUUUGUUAUGAGAUCAAAAUGGAAAGGCAUUCUGGUAACAUAGCCAGGCUGAAAAAUAGGAUGAUACCAGCUGUUGUCCCCCUCUUCUUCUUCCUCGCAAUAAGGACUAUGGAAUAAGGAAGCAAGUCACCCAUGAGAAGAAUGCAAAAAGUAGCGGGGGGAAAGCUUCCUCUAUAGAACCCCACAGGUCAAAUAGAAACACUUCAGGAGCACCCAGAAAACAGUCUGCUGUCAUAACUUAUGUUGAAGACCUUCUUUAUAUUUGAACUGCGGAGUGCAAAAUGCAUAAUCCUGAACACACUUCGAUUUUGGGAAUCUGGAGCUGAAUCAAAAGACAGAAAAUUUAUUCUAUCCAGGCUUAUUUCAAAAGA